rnacentral:rRNA from 1 species
CAGCAGCCGCCACGGGAAUACGAAGGGGGCUAGCGUUGCUCGGAAUCACUGGGCGUAAAGGGUGCGUAGGCGGGUCUUUAAGUCAGGGGUGAAAUCCUGGAGCUCAACUCCAGAACUGCCUUUGAUACUGAAGAUCUUGAGUUCGGGAGAGGUGAGUGGAACUGCGAGUGUAGAGGUGAAAUUCGUAGAUAUUCGCAAGAACACCAGUGGCGAAGGCGGCUCACUGGCCCGAUACUGACGCUGAGGCACGAAAGCGUGGGGAGCAAACAGGAUUAGAUACCCGAGUAGUCCCUGUCUCUUAUAC